UAUAGAGGUCCCAAGCGUUGUUCGGAUUCACUGGGCGUAAAGGGUGCGUAGGCGGUCGGGUAAGUCUGACGUGAAAUCUCACAGCUUAACUGUGAAACUGCAUUGGAUACUAUCCGGCUAGAGGAAUGGAGGGGAGACUGGAAUACUUGGUGUAGCAGUGAAAUGCGUAGAUAUCAAGUGGAACACCAGUGGCGAAGGCGAGUCUCUGGACAUUUCCUGACGCUGAGGCACGAAAGCCAGGGGAGCAAACGGG
rnacentral:rRNA from 1 species